CAAUAGCGUAUAUUUAAGUUGCUGCAGUUAAAAAGCUCGUAGUUGGAUUUCGGGUGGGAAUGGCCGGUCCGCCGUUUCGGUGUGCACUUGCUACGCCCACCUUGCUGCCGGGGACGUGCUCUUGAGUUCACGCUCGGGACACGGAGUCGGCGAGGUUACUUUGAGUAAAUUAGAGUGUUCAAAGCAGGCCUACGCUCUGAAUACAUUAGCAUGGAAUAACACGAUAGGACUCUGGCCUAUCUUGUUGGUCUGUAGGACCGGAGUAAUGAUUAAGAGGGACAGUCGGGGGCAUUCGUAUUUCAUUGUAAGAGGUGAAAUUCUUGGAUUUAUGAAAGACGAACUACUGCGAAAGCAUUUGCCAAGGAUGUUUUCAUUAA
rnacentral:rRNA from 1 species